rnacentral:tRNA from 1 species
GCAUUGGUGGCUCAGUGGUAGAGCUCUCGCCUGCCACGCUGGAGGCCGGGUUCAUUUCCUGGCCAAUGCU